rnacentral:rRNA from 2 species
GAUUUCUGGUUUGACGCGUUUGGCCCUCCCGGGUUUCCACUCGGUGUGCGUGCCGAUGCGCGUCUGCCAUCCUUGUAGAGAACGUUUCUACCCUUCACUGGGCCGGAUUCGCGAUCUACAUCUUUUACUUUGAAAAAAUUAGAGUGUUUAAAGCAGGCUUGUGCUAUGAAUACAUUAGCAUGGAAUAAUAAUUUAGGACUUUAGUUCUAUUUUGUUGGUUUCUAGAGCUGAAGUAAUGAUUGAUAGGGAUAGUUGGGGGUGCUAGUAUUCACUGGCCAGAGGUGAAAUUCUUGGAUUCAGUGAAGACUAACUUAUGCGAAAGCAUU